AAUAGAUACCCUGGUAGUCCACGCCGUAAACGAUGGAUACUAGCUGUUCGUCCGCCUCGGCGGAUGAGUGGCUAAGCGAAAGUGAUAAGUAUCCCACCUGGGGAGUACGAACGCAAGUUUGAAACUCAAAGGAAUUGACGGGGGCCCGCACAAGCGGUGGAGCAUGUGGUUUAAUUCGAUGAUACGCGAGGAACCUUACCAAGGCUUAAAUGUAGAUUGACAGGACAGGAAACAGUUUUUUCUUCAGACAAUUUACAAGGUGCUGCAUGGUUGUCGUCAGCUCGUGCCGUGAGGUGUCAGGUUAAGUCCUAUAACGAGCGCAACCCCUGUUGUUAGUUGCCAGCGAGUCAAGUCGGGAACUCUAACAAGACUGCCAGUGUAAACUGUGAGGAAGGUGGGGAUGACGUCAAAUCAUCACGGCCCUUACGCCUUGGGCUACACACGUGCUACAAUGGCCGGUACAGAGAGCAGCCACUGCGCGAGCAGGAGCGAAUCUAUAAAACCCGGUCACAGUUCGGAUCGGAGU
rnacentral:rRNA from 1 species